rnacentral:rRNA from 1 species
GACGAACCGUGCGAACGUUGUUCGGAAUCACUGGGCUUAAAGGGCGCGUAGGCGGGCUGCCAAGUCCGGGGUGAAAUCCUCCCGCUCAACGGGAGAACGGCCUCGGAUACUGGAAGUCUCGAGGGAGAUAGGGGCACGCGGAACCGUGGGUGGAGCGGUGAAAUGCGUUGAUAUCCAUGGGAACUCCGGUGGCGAAGGCGGCGUGCUGGAUCUCUUCUGACGCUGAGGCGCGAAAGCCAGGGGAUCAAACGGG